AUUAGAAACACAGUAUCAAAGGCUGGCUUGAUUUGUUGGAUUCAAACCCAUAAACUACAAAUAGGCAGGCAGAUGAGUCACAGUCAGAUCUCGCAAGAACCAGCACAGGCGUGGACUGUCAGUGUGGACGGGGAGGACGGCGAAGCAGAAGAUUUAUGCAGUGGAGGAAACCAAGAAGUCUGUUCUGGUGGAUGGAGGGAAGAAAACCCUGUUAAGGUUUCCCAGAGACUAUGGGUUGAGGAGGAAGUGGAAGUUUGUCAGCUUAGACCUGGUGUCAUUCCAUCAGUGUUUAACUUCCCGGCUCAUCUUGGAAGAGUAUGUGCCAGAAAGACCACAAACAAGCAGCCUUGAGAUGUUAGACAGCGUCUCCCUGAGGUCCCUCUCUAUCUCCCCACAUAUCCACCAACCACUGGAACACAUCUCCAAAGUUCUGCUGGGCCAGCUCAGCUUCCCCUCAGAAGAAGUGCCGCCACCUGCCAGAUGAAGGAGCCUUUUGAGAGGCAGCUGGCAUCGUGAUUGGACUGUACUUUGGUCUGUUCCAAUCCAGCUUCAGCUCCAGAGACGGCAGGCGGGACGAGUCAACGGAGGCCGGAUGGACGAAGACUAAAGAACUACAGACUCUUCACAACCUGCUCAAACUCUUGGUACAGGACCUCACCACACGGGUCAAGAAGGUUUCUGUCUCAUUUCUACUCUGAAGCUCACCUUCUCCUGCUCAAACUGCUGACAAAUGUUUCUGCUGCUCUAAAGUCUGGUCUCCAGAACUUCCUAAAAACUCUCAAAGUCU
ensembl:lncRNA